ACAUAUGAUCUUUAAAUCAAGUCAAAAAUUAUGAUAUGAUCCCCCUUGAGAUCAUUAUUUAAUCACAGUUUUAUGAACGGCUUUUCCAAAAAUAGCACGGAUCUCCCAUGAAUUCAACUCCCAACAGCAACUCCCCGGCACAUUUGCCAAAUCAAUAUGCAAUAUCCCACAAGUAAAGGAUUUCAAACUCUCACUCGAAUCUACACACACACACGCUCAGUGGGCAAUCAUAUCGAUGGGGGGAAAACUGAACCGCCUGUCAUAAAAGCCGCACACACAAAAAUACGAGUAGUUGGCUGCAUCAAGAGGGAACUGUGGCAUGAAAAGCACAAAAACUAGGUUAGUUGCCGAGAUUUUUUACCUUCGCUAACAUGACCCCUCCUCCUCCUUCCCUUUCCUUCCAGCCAACAAACCCCCUAGAAAAAUAACAAUUGCACCCCGUAACCCCUGAUCUCUGGCACUGCCACUCGCCGUCCCAAAGCCAUCCGUUCAUGUCUCUGCCAAUGCAUUUCAAAACAGGAGCUGCAGGAGCAGCGAAUCGAGAAAGGCGUUCGGCCAUGCCCCUCCGCCGCCCCCACCAUAUCUGUCAAGUGAACUGGAAGUGAUAAGGAUAUAUAGGGGUCGGUAUGGUGGAGCUAGCUAUGGACGAAGGAAGAACGCUGAGCGUGUUCACGUGCAAAAUUGCAGCGAUUCCCCAGCGAGUUUCGAUUUCUCCUUCAAAAUCGAAUUCACUUUGCUGAGUACACUGAGAGGAAAUCAUGAAC
rnacentral:lncRNA from 1 species